rnacentral:rRNA from 1 species
UGAACAACGAACCCUUAAUAGCGGCUGCACCAUUAGGAUGUGCCUGAUCCAACAUCGAGGUCCGUAAACCCUUUCGUCGAUAUGGACUCUUAGAAAGGAUUGCGCUGUUAUCCCUAGGGUAACUUGGUUCGGUGAUCAGGCUUGGGGCUGGAAAAUUGUUCGUCAGAUG